rnacentral:rRNA from 1 species
AUACGUAGGGGGCAAGCGUUAUCCGGAUUUACUGGGUGUAAAGGGAGCGUAGACGGAAGGCCAAGUCUGAUGUGAAAGCCCGCGGCUCAACUGCGGGACUGCAUUGGAAACUGGUCAUCUGGAGUGCAGGAGGGGUAAGCGGAAUUCCUAGUGUAGCGGUGAAAUGCGUAGAUAUUAGGAGGAACACCGGUGGCGAAGGCGGCUUACUGGACUGUAACUGACGUUGAGGCUCGAAAGCGUGGGGAGCAAACAGGAUUAGAUACCCUGGUAGUCCACGCUGUAAACGAUGAAUACUAGGUGUGGGGGGACUGACCCCCUCCGUGCCGCAGUUAACACAAUAAGUAUUCCACCUGGGGAGUACGAUCGCAAGAUUGAAACUCAAAGGAAUUGACGGGG